AUUUGUUUGUGUGUGGGAAUGCCUUUUUACUACGUAAUGUGAAACGUAAAGCUUUUUUUUUUGCAAAUUUUGAAACGUAUGCAGCCGGCAGUUCGCAAAGAGAGGAAGAGAGAGUGUGCGAGAGAACGGUAAAGAGCGCCCGCGAGUGCAGUCUACACAACUAACGGGAUCAGGUGGGAGAGAGGCCGAAACCGAACCGGGCACAUGGUUUUAAUGCGCUUUACAGGGUUUCUUCCUUGAUUUUUCUCCGAUUUUUAGAAAUAUCUGUAAGGCUUGCGUCCACUACGGGUUUCGCGUUUUCAAGACCGUUUUAAUUCCGAUUGUCCGAGAGAUCGAAAGCGCGAGACCCACCGACUACAAAUACAAAUGUUGUCUGAUGGCUGGCGACGCAGCGCUUGGCAGAAUUGACCGUCGUCGCCGCUGCCGCCGCUGCAGAGAAGAAAGAAGCAGAAGAAAAGUAGAAGGAGGCGGAAUGUACGAACAAAAAAAUGUAAAAACAGAAAAAAAUGUAUCAGCAGCGGCAACAGCACCAACAACAACACAAGAAAUCUCACUCAGAUUUAUCUGCCUCUCGCUCGCUCCUGCUCUGUUUGCAUUACAUACAUGUGCGACAGAACGAUGAACGAUGAUGAUGAACCGAAUUACAAAUAAAAAGAAUGAUGCCAAAAGACGACGACAACGCCAGCGAUUAGCAAAAGCAAAAGCAAAGGAGCAAAAGCACUCACACACACACAAACACACCCGACCCACCCACUCACACACACAUAGCAUACAUAGCGGUGGCGAAAAAAAAUCGGUCGCAAUCGGAAAAAAUGCAAAGGCAGCGACGGCGGCGGCAGCAGCGGCGGCAGAACUCUCUCUGCACAUAAAAAAAAAUAAAGAGAAGACGAAAAAAUUAAACAUAAGCAAGCUCACACACACACACAAGCUCAGAAAAGUGCUCAAGCAGGCUGGAAAAAAAUGAGAAGAAACUUUGAGCCUGAGCGCCAACUGACAACAACAACGACAGCAUAAAAAAAACUGCGGGCAAGAAAGCCGAGGAAAAAAAUUGCGGCACAUCACGCGCACAGUGGGCAAAGCCAUGUGUUGUGCUUAACAAAAAGUUUAUAUAUUCUUUUGUGAUGGACCCUUCAUGAAUAAGUACACAGUCUUAUAUGUUCGAGAUUAAAACUAGCCCAGCUUAUAAUACAUUUAUAAAACAGAUAACAAGAAAAUAAGCAUGUUGCUUGACUGUUCUAAUUGAAAUGUAAACGAUCAAAAUAAAUAAUUUAAUUUUGGUUUAAAUGUACAAAUUAUGGUAUCAUGCGAAACGAGUGACACUGGACUGAACUAAAGUGCACUGAAAACAAUUUGCAUUAUUGAUGAGUGGAGCACAUUUCUUAACAAACUCGUUUUGAGGAAAGCAAAAGAACGAGGAAGUAAAACAAGAAAUAUAAAAAAAAACGAAUGAGUGCAAAUUAUACAUAGCGCAACCCACAGUACAUAGCACCCUUAGAAAAUGACCAGCACACUGACCAUCUACAGAAAAC